GAUGAACGCUGGCGGCGUGCCUAAUACAUGCAAGUCGAGCGAACGGACGAGAAGCUUGCUUUUCUGAUGUUAGCGGCGGACGGGUGAGUAACACGUGGAUAACCUACCUAUAAGACUGGGAUAACUUCGGGAAACCGGAGCUAAUACCGGAUAAUAUUUUGAACCGCAUGGUUCAAAAGUGAAAGACGGUCUUGCUGUCACUUAUAGAUGGAUCCGCGCUGCAUUAGCUAGUUGGAAAGGUAACGGCUUACCAAGGCAACGAUGCAUAGCCGACCUGAGAGGGUGAUCGGCCACACUGGAACUGAGACACGGUCCAGACUCCUACGGGAGGCAGCAGUAGGGAAUCUUCCGCAAUGGGCGAAAGCCUGACGGAGCAACGCCGCGUGAGUGAUGAAGGUCUUCGGAUCGUAAAACUCUGUUAUUAGGGAAGAACAUAUGUGUAAGUAACUGUGCACAUCUUGACGGUACCUAAUCAGAAAGCCACGGCUAACUACGUG
rnacentral:rRNA from 1 species